ensembl:lncRNA
CUGGGCGCAGCCAAAGGGAAUCACUAUGAACAAAAUGACCUGCAUAUUUACUUUAGAAUCACAACUUUAAAUGCUAAUCAACAGCGUGCUGAAUCCUGUCAGUGGAAAGAGUGUAUUUUUGAGAGAAACCAUCUGCAAGGAGUCAUUCCAAACAGUCAAACCAGUUUCUCACACAACACACCCUGCAAAGUGCUGCCACAGUGCUCGCUCUAACUGAAGGAGUCGGCUAUGGAUUAUCAGGAGCAGGUUGAAGAAAUCACCACCACGGCCAAAUUUGGAGACUUGAUAGAAUUUGCUUACCCCAUCGGAUAUUCACACUGGGGAGUUUAUGAUCAAGACGGAUAUGUAUUUCAUUUUGCUGUUGCGGAUGAGAAGCAACUUAUGAACAACAUUCGUACUUACCUACAAAAAAUGUUCCCGGUGUGCGGCGACCUUCUCCUUGGGCAGACCAGGAUCCGCAGGGUGCCUCUCGGUGAGGUGAACGUCCCGAAGGGCGUCCACGUCUGUAUCGGCAACACGAGACACGACUUCACCCCCUCAACCCCGGAGCAGAUGAAACAGCGGUGUGACGCCCUUCUCGAUCAGGACUUACCAUAUAAACUUUUCACCCUCAACUGCGAGCACUUUGCUACUUUUGUACGUUAUGGAACAGCAGUGUGCAACCAGCUUCCUGGUAGAACGAAGAAUAAAGAGUGUGAGUUGGCAACUGAAACCUUCAAGAACAUUGUCAGCCCUAAAGAAACUGAUGCAGGUCCCUUGAGGGAAACCUCUGACUUCUUUAAUUCACAUGUAUGGUAGGAAAAUGUAUUCAAAAGGGGAAUGAGGUAAACAUUGGUGUAAUUCGUACAUAGUCUGGUGGAAUAUAUGAAUCCUCUUUGUAUUAAUUCAGCAAAUCAUUUAUACUAAUCAUUUACAGAUUCUGCAACUCAUGGGCCAUGGGUGUGUUCUCAUGCAACCUCAGCCUAACAUGCCAAGUGUUCAAUUGUAACCUAGGCUCAAGUAUUUAUGUAUGUGGACGAGGGGAAGUACAGUGACUGCAGAGGAGCUUCCAACAUUGUAGUUUAACAUUUUACUUGAGCCUAACUCCAGAGGAGGGCAGUGCUGCGUCGAAAGCCCUAAAAACGGCAAACAGUUAAUCAACAGUUGCUAUCAGGACUGGUAAUCAAUUACUAAUUGUCUUCAUGUUGACAAAGGUAUCAUUUCAUUGUAUAGUUGGAUUUCUAAGCAUUGACUAAGCAUUAAGCAACUGUAGUAACAUGUCUUGUUAACAUGUAAUGGGGUUUUAAAUUAUAUAAACAUUAUAGCAGCAUUUAUAGCAGUAAGAGAGUUGCAGAUUGUAAGAAAAAAUAUACUGCUCUUUCCCAGGUGUUUUGGUCUCUGGUGGCCUUGGUAGGGUAAUAGGUAAGAAUAGGAUUGUAUUACUACAAGGCGCUCACAUGAUCAAUACUCAGUACAUUCCCAUGACUAAAUAAUGCUUUUAAGAACGUAUAUCAUUUUAAACAAAUAAAUUCAGAAUAGAAUUAAUUCAAAGGAAUGAUAAAUGUUAAAUGGACAAAAUUUGUAUUUCUCUUUUUAAGUCUUCCCACCCACAUCUUUUAAUACUACAUGUCUACAUUCACCCAUUUUCUUAUCUUCAAAGGCAAAUAGAUGAGAACAAGCAGAGCCAUUUUCUUUUAGAUCAAACUAUACUGAGACAUAUUGUAUUAUGGUGCAUUAUACCAUAUUUUUUCUAAUAUCACCCUAAACUACAACAUUGUUUAUGAUUUUUUAUGGCUUGAUAUACGAUAACAAUUUCAAAAAUACACUAUGAUAAUAAAUGAAUAAAUAAACUAUAAUACUUUCAUGUUUUUUAGACAUUCUAUCCAAUGAUCUAUUUGAUUAAAUACAUAAAGAGUUAUGAAAUGUUUAGCAUACUAUGCCAUUUUAAUUACAGUAAACUAAAGUUAAGUUAAGGGGUUUCAUGAUUUUGUUUUCAAGGCAUAUUAUGCAAUAAAAUAUUUUGUUACAUUUUUAUGACAUUAAAUACUACCGUGUGACAUUUUUCUGAUCUCUUACUCACUUUAACAAUUUGUGUGUUGUACUAUGAUAUUUUUAUGGCACAUUAUAGUAUGAUAAGAUGUAUAAUAUUCUUAACUGUUCGGUUCUUUAGUUUAAUUUUAGUCACUGUUCUCUGUUCUAAAGCAAACAAACAAGAUAAAGGUUUGGAUGCUUGAUGAUUGAUUCUUGUCCAUUAUGGGUGGUUCGGGACAGCUUUCUCUAUGGUUUUGCAAGACAUGCAAGUUAUGCAAGGUCAAAGUUGAAUCCAAGCACAGCAGUUGAGGAGGGAAGUCGGUGCAGUGUGCAAAGUCGCAGCUCUGCUUCAGCAUCUUCAGAGCAGGACAACUCAGCGGAUGCCCAGUUCAUCUGGUUGAGGCAACCUACCUCGGUGUAAGAGAAGCCAACAGUUGGGAACAGAGGAAAGCAGUGCAACUGUAAAACACUGGAAAUAUGCAGUAAGACUAUAAAACACAUCACCUCUGGCUAAAUUCUCUUUAGUGAAUAACCACUGCACUACUGUCUUGGUUUAAUAUCAAUAACAUUGCACCACUGUCUUAAUUAAAUGUUACACCUAUUCCACCC